CGGACGGGUGAGUAAUGCCUAGGAAAUUGCCUUGAUGUGGGGGAUAACCAUUGGAAACGAUGGCUAAUACCGCAUGAUGCCUACGGGCCAAAGAGGGGGACCUUCGGGCCUCUCGCGUCAAGAUAUGCCUAGGUGGGAUUAGCUAGUUGGUGAGGUAAUGGCUCACCAAGGCGACGAUCCCUAGCUGGUCUGAGAGGAUGAUCAGCCACACUGGAACUGAGACACGGUCCAGACUCCUACGGGAGGCAGCAGUGGGGAAUAUUGCACAAUGGGCGAAAGCCUGAUGCAGCCAUGCCGCGUGUAUGAAGAAGGCCUUCGGGUUGUAAAGUACUUUCAGUUGUGAGGAAGGGUGUGUAGUUAAUAGCUGCGCAUCUUGACGUUAGCAACAGAAGAAGCACCGGCUAACUCCGUGCCAGCAGCCGCGGUAAUACGGAGGGUGCGAGCGUUAAUCGGAAUUACUGGGCGUAAAGCGCAUGCAGGUGGUUCAUUAAGUCAGAUGU
rnacentral:rRNA from 1 species